GCCUAGUUUGCUUCAUUGGUAGCGCGUCUGUCUUAUAAGCGCUAGGCCGCGGGUUCGAUUCCCGUACGGGGCG
rfam:Asian citrus Psyllid, Diaphorina citri - Florida Strain, whole genome shotgun sequence.